UGCUUGCCCAUCCCUCCUCCCGCCUUGCUGUAAAAGAGGAGGAAGAGGCACCGGGACAGGUGCUUUGCUGGCUUUACAGCGAGGCGGGAGGUGGGAUGGGCAAGCA
rnacentral:miRNA from 1 species